GAUCCUGGCUCAGGACGAACGCUGGCGGCGCGCCUAACACAUGCAAGUCGAACGGAGAUUGAUUGAAAGAUUCUUCGGAUGAUUGAUAUCAAUCUUAGUGGCGAACGGGUGAGUAACGCGUGAGCAAUCUGCCUUAAAGAGGGGGACAACAGUUGGAAACGACUGCUAAUACCGCAUAAGCCCACACUACCGCAUGGUAGAGUGAGAAAAGAUUUUAUCGCUUUAAGAUGAGCUCGCGUCUGAUUAGCUAGUUGGUGGGGUAACGGCCUACCAAGGCAACGAUCAGUAGCCGGACUGAGAGGUUGAUCGGCCACAUUGGGACUGAGACACGGCCCAGACUCCUACGGGAGGCAGCAGUGGGGAAUAUUGCACAAUGGGGGAAACCCUGAUGCAGCGACGCCGCGUGAGGGAAGAAGGUAUUCGUAUUGUAAACCUCUGUCUUCGGGGACGAUAAUGACGGUACCCGAGGAGGAAGCACCGGCUAACUACGUG
rnacentral:rRNA from 1 species